rnacentral:rRNA from 1 species
AGCGCAGGCGGUUCCUUAAGUCUGAUGUGAAAGCCCACGGCUCAACCCGUGGAAGGUCAUUGGAAACUGGGGAACUUGAAUGCAGAAGAGGAGAGUGGAAUUCCAUGUGUAGCGGUGAAAUGCGUAGAUAUAUGGAGGAACACCAGUGGCGAAGGCGACUCUCUGGUCUGUAAUUGACGCUGAGGCUCGAAAAGCGUGGGGAGCAAAACA